ACAAGGUAUAUGCCAGAUCACUUGCAAAGUAUUUUUGAGACAAGAGCUCUGGCAGUUUAUCAGGAUGCUGGCUGGAGCCUAGGAGAAUAAUCUACCCACGUGUCUGGGGCAGGGGGAGGGGGAGGAGCCUCUCUCCAGAUCCCUUCCCCAGCCUCGGUGGAAUCCGGAAGGGCUCCUCCAACCCCAGCCCUUGGAAGAUCUGACGGGACUCUGGGGAGAGGCGAGGACGAGGGGAACCUGGAGCAGUCAGCUAAUCUCAUUAGCAGCUUUCUCUAAAUCCUGGCCCCUCUGGUUCAGCUGGAGCUCCGAGACAAUUCCAACCCCACCUUGCCCCUCGGCCACGCUCAUUCUUCUCCAGAGGUCCUGGGACCAGGCGCCAAUUAUGGGGCAAGGAGGCAAAGCAGGCACUGUUGGAAUGGGCUGCUCCGGAAAGAGCCUUACCUAGCACCUACAGGGAGGUCACAUCUGCAGAAAAACCACCAUCUGCAGUAGGAAGAGUCCAAGAAGACAGGGAAUCGUAGCAUCAGAGAUUCAGAGCUGGAUGGGACCUCUGAGGCCAUCCGGUCCAACGCCAUUUUACAGAGGAGAGAACUGAGGAGAGAGGCUGGGGACUGACUUCCAUUGUGACCAAUAUGUUCAAUUCAAUAAACAAUAAACCUUUAUUAAGCACCUACAAUGUGCCAGUAGCUAUGUCGGCAAGGAGAUCAAAUAAGUCAAUACUUAAGAAUAUCAAUUCAGAUUAUUCACUGGAAGGUCACAUACUGAAGCUGAAGCUUAAAUACUCUGGCCACAUAAUGUGAAGAUGGAACUCCUAGGACCCCGGUGUUGGGAAAGAUCGAAAGCAAAAGGAAAAGGGCAUGGCAGAGGAUGAGAUGGACAGAUGGUAUCAUGGAGACAACGGACAUGAACUUGGACAAACUUUGGGAGAUAGUAAAGUACAGAAGAGCUAUGGCCCAUGGGGUCAUAAAGAGUCAGACAUGUCAGAGUAACACAUGCCAGAGCAGCAGGGUCAAACUUGGAGAGCUGGAAGGGACGCUUAGUGAUCCUCCGGUCCGGCCUUCCUCACCUGACAGAUCGGCUAUAAAUCAAAGCCAGGCUUAAGGAGCCUGCUCAAGGUCACAGAGUGAGUGGCUGAGUCAGGACCUGAACUGAAAUCCUUGGCGCCCUUUUUACUACACUGUGAUAUCGUAAUAAACAGGGAAGAUUACUGUGCUACAAGAGAUGACGACUGUCAUGUCUACAGAGAAGCAUGGAAGAACUUAACGUAAAGCGAUGGAAAAGGAAGUAAACAGAGCCAAGAAAACAACAGACAAAAAUGACUUCAACAGUGUAAAUGGAAAGGACAACCACCACAAAAGAAUGAUAUUAAUGAGAACUAACAUUUAUAUAGUACCCACUGUGACCCUGGGCAAGUCUCUUCACUUUGUUUGCCUCAGUUUCCACAUCU